rnacentral:tRNA from 6 species
AGGGGUGUAGCUCAACUGGCUAGAGCGUCGGUCUCCAAAACCGAAGGUUGCGGGUUCGAGUCCCGCCGCCCCUG